CGACGAUGACGACGAUGAUGAUGAUGAUGACGAUGAUGAUGAUGAUGAUCAUCAUCAUCAUCAUCAUCGUCAUCAUCAUCAUCAUCAUCAUCA
rnacentral:pre_miRNA from 1 species